GCGGGCUGCCGGCCGAGACUUCUGGAUGGCGGCGGCCGCGGCUCCGCCCCGGGUUCCCACCGCCUGAAGGGCGAGACAAGCCCGACCUGCUACAGGCACUCGUGGGGGUGGGGGAGGAGCGGGGGUCGGUCCGUCUGGUUUGUGGGUGGGAGGCGCUUGUUCUCCAAAAACCGGCGCGAGCUGCAAUCCUGAGGGAGCUGCGGUGGAGGAGGUGGAGAGAAGGCCGCACCCUUCUGGGCAGGGGGAGGGGAGUGCCGCAAUACCUUUAUGGGAGUUCUCUGCUGCCUCUCGUCUUGUAAGGACCGCCCUGGGCCUGGAAGAAGCCCUCCCUCCUUUCCUCCUCGCGUGAUCUCGUCAUCGCCUCCAUGUCGAGUCGCUUCUCGAUUAUGGGCGGGAUUCUUUUGCCUAGGCUUAAGGGGCUAACUUGGUGCCUGGGCGUUGCCCUGCAGGGGAGUGAGCAGCUGUAAGAUUUGAGGGGCGACUCCGAUUAGUUAUCUUCCCACGGACUCGAGUUGGUGUCGAGGUUAUUGUAAUAAGGGUGGGGUAGGGAAAUGGAGCUUAGUCAUUCACCUGGGGCUGAUUUUAUGCAACGAGACUGCGGAUUAUCACUGCUUAUCAUUUUUGGAGCAUUUUUCUAGAGACAGACAUAAAGCAUGAUCACCUGAGUUUUAUACCAUUUGAGACCCUUGCUGCACCACCAAAGUGUAGCAUCAGGUUAAAUCUUAAUAGAAAAAUUUUAGCCUUUGCUUGAGAAACCAGUGCUUCCCUCCCUCACCCUCUCUCCCCAGGCUCUGUACCCCUUUGCAUCCCUACCAGGCAUCUUAGCAACUCUCACUCAUACUUGAUCCCAUUUUCCAUUUGUUGUACUUGCUCCUCUAGUAUUCAGACAUAGCACUAGCUUUCUCUCUCUCUUGAUCUUGGGUAGCCUGGUGUCUCGCGAAACCAGACAGAUUGGUUCCACCACAAAUUAAGGCUUGAGCUGGGGCUUGACUCUUACCCAGCAGUGCUUUUAUUCCUCCCUAGUUCACGUUCUUAAAUGUUUACCUUGAUUUUCAUUUUAUCCUUUUUCCUUAUCUGGGAUUCUAUCCCUGACCGUCUUCACAGUUCAGGUGAUCUUGACUACUGCUUUACAGAGAAUUGGAUCUGAGGUUAGGCAACAUCUCCCUUUUUCUUCCUCUAAAUACCUCUCAUUUCUGUUCUUACCAGUUAGUAACUGAUCUCAGAUGCCUGUGUGAUAGCUUCCAAAUUGCUGUCUCUGUCCUUAGGGUUAUCUUUUGAUCCAUCUUACAUCUUGUUAGGAUGGUUGUCCUAAAGGAAGAUAGAGCAUGAAAAUGACAGAUGAAACUCCAUUACUGGCUUGUACUGUUUACAGCAAGUUGUCUAACCCGCGGGCCGCAUGGGACCCAGGACAGCUUUGAAUGCGACCCAACACAAAUUCGUAAACUUUCUUAAAAUUUUAGGAGUUUUUUUUGCGGGGUGUUUUUUUUUUUGUUGUUGUCUGUUUUUUUUUUUUUUGCUCAUCAGCUGUCCUUUAUAUGUGACCCAAGACAGUUCUUGCAGUGUGGCCCAGGGAAGCCAAAAGAUUGGACACCCCUGGUUUACAGGAUGAAUUCUGUCCUCGUGAAUGUGAUGCAUAAGGUCCCUGGAUAGACUUUCCUCAAUUUAACAGCUUUUUCAUUUUUCACUAUUUUCCACAUACUACACAAACAAACAUGACCUCUCUCCUGAAGUCACAUGGAAUGAAUUGCAGUUACCCAAAUCAUAGAGACAUCAUAUAUCUUUGUGGGGUGGUUCUUUUUGGAAUGCUACCCUUGCUGCUUUUAAUCCUGCAGAUUCAAAUGUCAUCUCCCCUUUGGUCAUGCCUUCCAUGGUCUGUUGUUCUAUGAGCCAAACUCCCCUUUUAAAAAAGCAGUUUUCUUCUGACUCUUGAGCAGUUUGUACUGCGUGGGUCAUAGUACUUCUGGGGUUGUUGUCAUUGCUGAUUUAAAUUACCUUAACUAUUCUGAGCUUUUUGAAGGAACAGUGUCUUGUACUCCUGAGCUCCUAGUAUACUCUGAUGUCUAGCCAACUUUAAGUAAAUGGAGUGAGCGACAUGUAAAUGUCUUUAUGGUUUGACAUUUUAUUAAUCUUGAGCAUUGGAAAAGUGGCUGGUAUGACUAAAGAACUGAAUUUUUAUUUUUUAUCUAAUUUGAAUUGCAACUGUGGACAGUGUAGCUGUAGCCCCGGACUUGUUCUGUGGAUUACAGAAUACGUGGACAUUGAUGGUUUUCUCUUUUUACUGAGCAGUAAGGAAAUAAAAGCUGAAGCUCUCUGGCCCAUUACACUUCAUUUAACUGCUUGUUUUGUUUUAUUUAUUAUAUAUUUAGCUGAAAGCUAAGUCCAACAAACCAUUUUUAAAGAUGUGCCUGCCUUGGACAACAGUGAAAGCAAGUGUUAAUGAGUUUGGAUUUCAAAAAAAAUGCAUAAUGAAUUUUAGGGAGGUGAGAUUCCAUUAAACUGUUACAGGAGCUACAUAGUUAAAUAUAUCAGAACUUGAAUGAAGAAUAGGUCUGUGUGAUACAAAUGAACCCAGCCUAAAUUUCUGUCCUACAAGUUUUCACUUCCUGGAAACACUUGAUUGGAGGAGCUCUAAGCAUCAUAUCUUGAGUUAUAGAAAACAAUCACAAAGUUGCUCCUUGAGGGCAGGACAGUUCUUAUGGCUUUAUCCGUUGCCUAAGCACAGAGAGGUCUGCGAGGUCAAAACUAUUGUCAUGAUAGCAAGAUGCCUGUCUUUUUCAUUUAUUCUCACAGUGUGCAGAGGCUACAUGAUGUGUGAUGACAUCCUCAUUGAUGUUAAUGAAUGGUGCUAUACUUGAAUUUUCUAAGGUGUCAUUAGAUCACUCCUUUAUUAUACAGAUCAGGAGAAAGGAUUUAGUACUGUUAUGCUCAAAUGAACGCUGGGCCCAUGUGUCAGGGCCAAGCAACUAGAACAUGAUUCAGAAAUCAGUCAGAGAGAGACACACUUGGACAGGACCAAGAGGCGUUUCAUUGUCACAAAACAAGGUGGGGGAGGGAUUCCAAAACACACAGCAGGAAGUACUUCUAACCCUCAGAGGUCAAGGAGCUUAUUCCAUAUUGGUAUGAGGAAUGGCUUAUUUUCUGAUGACCACAUGUGGGACUAUUUCAACUGCCACGAGAAAUCCCAGAAGGAUUAUUGUUUUGUAUUAUUUAUAUAUACUAUACCUUUUUAAAAAAAUAAAAUAAAUGUAACACA
rnacentral:antisense_RNA from 1 species